AGACCCGAAACCCGGUGAUCUAGCCAUGGGCAGGUUGAAGGUUGGGUAACACUAACUGGAGGACCGAACCGACUAAUGUUGAAAAAUUAGCGGAUGACCUGUGGCUGGGGGUGAAAGGCCAAUCAAACCGGGAGAUAGCUGGUUCUCCCCGAAAGCUAUUUAGGUAGCGCCUCGUGAAUUCAUCUCCGGGGGUAGAGCACUGUUUCGGCUAGGGGGCCAUCCCGGCUUACCAACCCGAUGCAAACUGCGAAUACCGGAGAAUGUUAUCACGGGAGACACACGGCGGGUGCUAACGUCCGUCGUGAAGAGGGAAACAACCCAGACCGCCAGCUAAGGUCCCAAAGUCAUGGUUAAGUGGGAAACGAUGUGGGAAGGCCCAGACAGCCAGGAUGUUGGCUUAGAAGCAGCCAUCAUUUAAAGAAAGCGUAAUAGCUCACUGGUCGAGUCGGCCUGCGCGGAAGAUGUAACGGGGCUAAACCAUGCACCGAAGCUGCGGCAGCGACACUGUGUGUUGUUGGGUAGGGGAGCGUUCUGUAAGCCUGUGAAGGUGUGUCGUGAGGCAUGCUGGAGGUAUCAGAAGUGCGAAUGCUGACAUAAGUAACGAUAAAGCGGGUGAAAAGCCCGCUCGCCGGAAGACCAAGGGUUCCUGUCCAACGUUAAUCGGGGCAGGGUGAGUCGACCCCUAAGGCGAGGCCGAAAGGCGUAGUCGAUGGGAAACGGGUUAAUAUUCCCGUACUUGGUGUUACUGCGAAGGGGGGACGGAGAAGGCUAUGUUGGCCGGGCGACGGUUGUCCCGGUUUAAGCGUGUAGGUGUGUGUUCCAGGUAAAUCCGGUUCACUUUAACACUGAGGCGUGACGACGAGGCACUACGGUGCUGAAGCAACAAAUGCCCUGCUUCCAGGAAAAGCCUCUAAGCAUCAGGUAACAUCAAAUCGUACCCCAAACCGACACAGGUGGUCAGGUAGAGAAUACCAAGGCGCUUGAGAGAACUCGGGUGAAGGAACUAGGCAAAAUGGUGCCGUAACUUCGGGAGAAGGCACGCUGACACGUAGGUGAAGUGAUUUACUCAUGGAGCUGAAGUCAGUCGAAGAUACCAGCUGGCUGCAACUGUUUAUUAAAAACACAGCACUGUGCAAACACGAAAGUGGACGUAUACGGUGUGACGCCUGCCCGGUGCCGGAAGGUUAAUUGAUGGGGUCAGCGCAAGCGAAGCUCCUGAUCGAAGCCCCGGUAAACGGCGGCCGUAACUAUAACGGUCCUAAGGUAGCGAAAUUCCUUGUCGGGUAAGUUCCGACCUGCACGAAUGGCGUAAUGAUGGCCAGGCUGUCUCCACCCGAGACUCAGUGAAAUUGAACUCGCUGUGAAGAUGCAGUGUACCCGCGGCAAGACGGAAAGACCCCGUGAACCUUUACUAUAGCUUGACACUGAACAUUGAGCCUUGAUGUGUAGGAUAGGUGGGAGGCUUUGAAGUGUGGACGCCAGUCUGCAUGGAGCCGACCUUGAAAUACCACCCUUUAAUGUUUGAUGUUCUAACGUGGACCCGUUACCCGGGUUGCGGACAGUGUCUGGUGGGUAGUUUGACUGGGGCGGUCUCCUCCUAAAGAGUAACGGAGGAGCACGAAGGUUGGCUAAUCCUGGUCGGACAUCAGGAGGUUAGUGCAAUGGCAUAAGCCAGCUUGACUGCGAGCGUGACGGCGCGAGCAGGUGCGAAAGCAGGUCAUAGUGAUCCGGUGGUUCUGAAUGGAAGGGCCAUCGCUCAACGGAUAAAAGGUACUCCGGGGAUAACAGGCUGAUACCGCCCAAGAGUUCAUAUCGACGGCGGUGUUUGGCACCUCGAUGUCGGCUCAUCACAUCCUGGGGCUGAAGUAGGUCCCAAGGGUAUGGCUGUUCGCCAUUUAAAGUGGUACGCGAGCUGGGUUUAGAACGUCGUGAGACAGUUCGGUCCCUAUCUGCCGUGGGCGCUGGAGAACUGAGGGGGGCUGCUCCUAGUACGAGAGGACCGGAGUGGACGCAUCACUGGUGUUCGGGUUGUCAUGCCAAUGGCACUGCCCGGUAGCUAAAUGCGGAAGAGAUAAGUGCUGAAAGCAUCUAAGCACGAAACUUGCCCCGAGAUGAGUUCUCCCUGAGACUUAAAGUCUCCUGAAGGAACGUUGAAGACGACGACGUUGAUAGGCCGGGUGUGUAAGCGCAGC
rnacentral:rRNA from 1 species